rnacentral:lncRNA from 1 species
UCUCACCCUCUAAGCUUGAGAAAUCAUAAUUUGACACCUUUAACUUCUCUUUAAUAGUGUUGGGACACCUCAUAAAGACCAAUGAGUCUUUGAAAAAAUAGAAAAAAAAAGAAAAAGAAAAAGAAAAAGAAAAAGAAAAAAAAAAUAGAAUAAACUUCUUUGCUUGCCUUGAAACCUGAGCAUGGUCCGAAGGGGUGGCGAAAGCCUUUAAAGCCUGGU